GACGAACCGUCCAAACGUUAUUCGGAAUUACUGGGCUUAAAGGGUGCGUAGGCGGCUCUGCAAGUUGGGUGUGAAAUCCCUCGGCUCAACCGAGGAAUGGCGCCCAAAACUGUGGAGCUCGAGGGAGACAGAGGUGAGUGGAACUUGUGGUGGAGCGGUGAAAUGCGUUGAUAUCACAAGGAACACCGGUGGCGAAAGCGGCUCACUGGGUCUCUUCUGACGCUGAGGCACGAAAGCUGGGGAGCGAACGGGAUUAGAUACCCCGUACGUCCUCGA
rnacentral:rRNA from 1 species